rnacentral:rRNA from 1 species
GGAUAAACGCUGGCGGCGCACCUAAGCCAUGCAAGUUGAACGGACUUAAUCGAAAUAUUUAUAUUUUGAAGCGGUUAGUGGCGGACUGGUGAGUAACGCGUAAGGAACCUGCCUAUUAGAGGGGAAUAACAGUGAGAAAUCAUUGCUAAUACCGCAUAUGCCAUAGAUAUCACAUGAUAACAGUGGGAAAGGAGCAAUCCGCUAAUAGAUGGCCUUGCGUCUGAUUAGAUAGUUGGUGGGGUAACGGCCUACCAAGUCGACGAUCAGUAGCCGGACUGAGAGGUUGAACGGCCACAUUGGGACUGAGAUACGGCCCAGACUCCUACGGGAGGCAGCAGUCGGGAAUAUUGCGCAAUGGAGGAAACUCUGACGCAGUGACGCCGCGUAUAGGAAGAAGGUUUUCGGAUUGUAAACUAUUGACGUUAGGGAAGAGAAAGGACAGUACCUAAGGAGGAAGCGCCGGCUAACUACGUG